CGGGGGAGCAAGCGUUGUUCGGAUUUACUGGGCGUAAAGGGCGCGUAGGCGGCGCAACAAGUCACUUGUGAAAUCUCCGGGCUUAACCCGGAGCGGCCAAGUGAUACUGUCGUGCUAGAGUGCGGAAGGGGCUACUGGAAUUCUCGGUGUAGCGGUGAAACGCGUAGAUAUCGAGAGGAACACCUGCGGCGAAGGCGGGUAGCUGGGCCGACACUGACGCUGAGGCGCGAAAGCCAGGGGAGCGAACGGGAUUAGAUACCCCGGUAGUCCUGGCCUUAAACGAUGGAUGCUUGGUGUCCGGGGUUACAUAGUCCCCGGGUGCCGGCGCUAACGCAUUAAGCAUCCCGCCUGGGGAGUACGGUCGCAAGACUG
rnacentral:rRNA from 1 species